rnacentral:rRNA from 1 species
UACGUAGGGUGCAAGCGUUGUCCGGAAUUAUUGGGCGUAAAGAGCUCGUGGGCGGUUCGUCGCGUCGGCUGUGAAAACCCGGAGCUCAACUCCGGGCCUGCAGUCGAUACGGGCGGACUUGAGUGUUGCAGGGGAGACUGGAAUUCCUGGUGUAGCGGUGAAAUGCGCAGAUAUCAGGAGGAACACCGGUGGCGAAGGCGGGUCUCUGGGCAACUACUGACGCUGAGGAGCGAAAGCGUGGGGAGCGAACAGG